GAAUUGCGUUCUCUCCUUUCCUUGGGAUUUUUCUUCUGUCCAACGUGGCCACUUUCUCUCCUCAGGGUUCCUUCCUGGUCUACCAGAUCGAUUCGGACGACGAAGAUGACGUCAAGUGUUACAUCACCAAAGGGAUCCCCCAAAACUCGCCGGUCAAGGUGCUGGUUCGCGUCUACGUGGUCAAGGGCAGCAAUCUGGCUCCCGCUGACCCCAACGGCAAAGCCGACCCGUACCUGCUGCUCCGCGUUGGGCAACAGUGUCAAGACACCAAAGACCGCUACAUCCCCAAACAACUCAACCCUGUCUUUGGGGAGUGAGUCGCAAUUUUGUUUUUCGAACAGCUUUUUUCCUUAACCGCAGUCGUAC